AAAUGUGUUGUUGAAAAUAGGGAGAGGAGGAGGGAAUGUUGAUAUUAGAGUUACCCCUGAUGAGAAUUCGGAUGGUACGGGUAGGAUUGGAGUUCAACUGUCACCAAAUUUCAAGAUUUCGAAAGUUCAGCCUAAGAAUAUAUUUGAGGCUUUUAGCUUCUCAGGAAGAGAAUUUUGGGGUCUUACGUUCAACGUAUUGGACAGUUUGAAACAGCCUAAGAACAUAUUUGAGGCUUUUAGCUUCUCAGGAAGAGAAUUUUGGGGUCUUACGUUCAACGUAUUGGACAGUUUGAAACAGACUUUUAUGAACUUCUCUCAGACGGCUAGUAAGGUAUCGGGUCCUGUUGCCAU
rnacentral:lncRNA from 1 species